rnacentral:rRNA from 1 species
UAUGAGAGGCCCAAACGUUAUUCGGAAUUACUGGGCUUAAAGAGUUCGUAGGCGGCAUUGCAAGUAGGGUGUGAAAGCCCUCGGCUCAACCGAGGAAUUGCGCUCUAAACUGCAGUGCUUGAGGAACCUAGAGGUGAGCAGAACAGAUGGUGGAGCGGUGAAAUGCGUUGAUAUCAUCUGGAAUACCGGAGGCGAAAGGCGGCUCACUGGGAGUUUUCUGACGCUGAGGAACGAAAGCCAGGGUAGCGAACGGG